GGAUGUGAGGGCGAUCUGGCUGCGACAUCUGUCAUCCAUCUGAUCGCCAGGGUUGAUUCGGCUGAUCCGGCUGGCUAGGCGGGAUUCUCCUUCCUCCCACACCGCUCCACGUGCGUCCCUCCUGAAGGUGUGCGCUCCAUGGAAGAGGACAACCUUCCCAAUAGAGGAUGACCAAUCUUCAGUCAAGGGUAUACCAGUAGCUGCGCUACCCUUCUGGAACCUCCAAAAAAGCUCUCAAGAAUAAAGUAUGUAAUCAAUUUAUAGAAAAAAAUAACUAUUUUUGGCUACUAAUUAUU
rfam:Equus caballus chromosome 8, whole genome shotgun sequence.